UAUCCAAUACGUGCAUGGGUACAGCUCCACCCGCUGCAGCAUAGGCAACUUCUCAGCAACCACACCCCCAAAGGAAAAUGAUUCUCUUCCCCCAGAAACUAUCAACAUUUGGUAGCUCCCCGUUCAUUCUGAAACGUCAGGUGGCUUGAUGGUAUUCGGGUCUUGUGCAGAUGGACACAGCCUCUAUUUGGACUGGAUUCCUGAGUCUGCCCUGCUCAUAUUCUUAGACCCUGGCGGUGUAGGGGGCCACAUGCCUGUCCGAGUCCGUGUCUUGCAUUAAGAGGGUGGAUGCCGUGACCGCUCAAGUUCUGCCAACUUCCCAGAGCCUCGCCCGUUGCCUUCCAUGUCACAAGUGACCAGGAACUGAACUAUCUGACAUCUGAAGAAUCCGUGUCACGUAGACAUGACUUUUACAGCCCAAGAAAUGGCCGUGACUCUGGUCUUCCCAAGACCUCUUCUCUGGUUUAUGUAUGGAUCUUAGAGAUUAAAUUCUUCAUCUGGACGUUCAUAGAUGUCCUUGUAGGGAAUAGCAGGCUCAGCUGGGAAACCAAGGAGGAAUCUGGAUUUCUAAAAGAUGAUGGAAAGAAAUAUAACAUGGAUAACGUGGAGCCAUUCUGGAAAAGGGCUUGUGAAGAGAGAAAUAGAAGACCUUCUACUGGUGUCGGCUUUGGGUCUGCCUAAGUUAUCCAAGGAGAAGAAAGGCUUUGUUCCAGCUUCAUCCUGAGAUUUUCAGCCAACCCUGGCUUCUCAUAUGGGACUCACCUCCUUUGGCUCUUGGCUGAGUUUCAUCCAUGAGAACCAGGGAUGUUAAAGCUACAAGGAAGCUGUGUUAGUCUCUACUUCCACAUUUGAAGAAGCUGAGUCUAAAGAGGAAGCUGUGUUAGUCUCUACUUCCACAUUUAAAGAAGCUGAGUCUAAAGAGGAAGCAGACCUGAUUACCAGGAGCCCCUCAUCUGGAGUAUCCAAGCCAACUAACUGGUCAGCUCUAAA